rfam:Gossypium raimondii chromosome 8, whole genome shotgun sequence.
AGUCUAUGAUGUGGGCACUUCCUUAACAUCAUCUUAAAACUCUCCCAUGCCUCGUAUAGAGAUUCACCUUUGAGUUGUUUUAAUUUUGUGAUCUUUCAUCGAAGCU